AGCAGGUCUGCUCGAUGGAUCUUGUGCAGGUCACAGUAGGUCAGGGCACGCACAUCCGCACUAGAUUUGCCUGGCCUGGCAUGGAGACUAACAGGCUCCCCAAAGAUGUCAUUCUUCCCUGCCAGCCAGAAGGAUGGUGGUCCCUCCAGGGUCUGGCUCCCUUACGAAGACCUUCUCUCAGGGCCCCUUGACUGUGAUCUUCCUACCUCCCACCUCGGAGAUCCCACAGAGCUGGGGCCUGGUGCUGAGGGGGUCUGAGGACAGGGCUGCAUGGGCUGGCUUUGAUGGGGAGGAGGAGGAGGAGGAGGGCCUUCACCAGUCCUCAGUUGCCUCAGAUCCCCUCGGAGUGCUCUUGCCCUGAGAAUACGGGUUCUCUUUUUGUUUCUUACCCUCAGAACCACCUUCCACCAGAAUGUCCUUUCAUUUUGUUUAUACUCUUUAGCACAGUUCCCAUUCUGGCCCAGGGUACAGGAGGCAGUCAAUGACACUAGAGGUUCCUUGCUCAGUUCCCUUUCGCUCCCUUGAGCCACUGACACUAGGGAGCAGACAACGGAGGACCCAAGGAUGGAAGCUUCCAGCUCCCCGGGCAGGACCUGGAGCUUCUGUUUUUGUCUUCUUACUCUCCACUGUACAAGCAGGGUACCAGCAUGGCCCUGGCAGGGCAACCCUGGGAAGCCAUCUCCCGUCUGCACUUGAGUGUCUUCUACCUUCAAAUGGGCAUAAUGAUGUCACCUACUCCACUGCUCUGUUUGCAGGGGCAGAGGUGGCCGUGUUUGAGAAAGUAUCCCUCAAAGCAAGAGGCCCUAGGCUAGGUCAAUGCAAGGCACAAGGAGAGAUGGAGGUCACAGGGUGGAUAUAGGGUAGAUAGUCAAGGUAUGUGACGCAAGCACUAGGUCCUUUCAGAGCCAAGGAGCUAUGCUGGCAAUGGGUUAUAAACAUGAGCAAGAGACUCUCCUAUUAGGAACCCUUCAAGUCCCUAAAAGGCAGGCACUUAAGUUGCCAAGGUCACAGAAUUAUCUGUCUUAGAACUGGAUGCCACCAAGAGCUCUGGACUAUGAAAGAGGGAGGGGUUCAUACUGCCUACCGUUGUUAGGACGAGGGGGCAGGGGCUUUCAGAAGGGGUACAAUCCCAAGAGAAUCAGGGGCUAGGCCCUCAGAAGGAAGGGAAUUUGGGCAUAAGAAACACAAUGUGGUCAUCCCUGCAUAGUCAAGGCUGAGGGAAGAGAGACCAGAGUCACAAGUGCCAUGGACCAUGGUUUCUUUGACUCCUACUGCCCCCAGGAAAGUCCAGCCUCCUCAGCCUCGUGGCACUGUACAAGGGACACUAAUAGUUUAGCACAGACAGAGGGAUAGACGGAGGCUAGGCAUGUACCACCAAGAGAACAGGAUGGAAGGGAGGGGACUGGGCCUAAGAGAAAGAAGGGACUUGCCAGGGUCACAUAUGGAACCCUGAACCUUGAUAUCUGGGCAAUGUAAUACCAACCCUCAUUUUUUUAACACAUGAAAAAUUGUGAUCUAAUGUCUAUUUCUACUCGGGACAAGAUGAGAGGAUUUCUUGUCUCUCACUGAAACUCAAAUUGGACCAGCUUCUUAAUUAUUAAUAUUCAUUAUCCCUCCCAUGCAGGUGGCAUUCGUAACACUGCUUGGAUGAAAGGAAAGGACUCAGGGGAGUCCAUGCUGUAGGCCAACCUGGAGAACGCCUGGGUCUGCCUGACAGGCACAGGGUAAGCUCUGAAGACAAAAUGGCAGUGUGAACAGAGGCACUGGAGUCACAGGGUGAUGAGACUAGUUGUCUAGCUGCAGCAUGAAGUCCCAGAGUAGGGAGCCUGGACUCACAGAGUGACUUGACUGGGUGGAACCGGGUUUACAUUUGUCCACAGGACAUAGGGACUUUUCAAAGGGUUCUGAGUGGGAGAGGAAUCCAUGCAGAUGUGUGUCGGUUGACUUUCAAAAGGCAGAAGAACUAAGGAUGUACCUAAUGCAAGGCCUCAGGACGGAGCUCCUCACAGCUGCCCAUGAGGACCAGACCCAGUGGAGGCUGGUGUAGAAAGCAGAUUUAUCAGCAAGGGAAACUGGAUGGGGGUAGAGGACCAGAAACUGUCAGGAUAUUCCUGCAGUUGUUAGCUUUAUCCCAGACAAUGGAAGGGCAGGGGACACUGAAGAGGCUGUCUUUGAGAGAAAGUAAUGGGGUCAAGUUGGGAUCUAUUGCACGUGGUCUGGCUUUUUUAAAUUUUAUUUUAUUUUAUUAUUUUGGACAGGGUCUCUUAGAGCCUAGACUAGCUUUGGGCAUGUAUCACCAUGCCUGAUUAAUGUAGUGCUGGAGAUCGAACCCAGGCCUUCAUGCAUGCUAGGCAGGCUCUCUGCUAACUGAGCCACAUUCCCAGAUGCCCACCUGUUUUGCUCUAAGGAGACAUUGGGGCUGGGGCCCAGCUCUGAGGAGUCUUGUGGCUCAGGCUGAGAGCAAUGGGCUGGCCCAGGCGAGGCUGUGGACAAGGGGCUGGCCCAGGUGGGGCUGUGAACAGAACAAGGGGCUGGCCCAGGCGAGGCUGUGGACAAGGGGCUGGCCCAGGCGAGGCUGUGGACAAGGGGCUGGCCCAGGUGAGGCUGUGCAGUGAGGUGAGAGCCGAGUGCUAGCCCUAGGUGACCAGCCACUGAGGGCAGGGUGAUGGACAGGAGUGGCCAGAGGGGGUUGGAAGAGAACCAGGUCAUGGAGACCAAGCUGAAGUCAGAGACUGGAGCCAAGGACAAGGACGAUGCAAAUAGAGGACCCUGAGGUACGUAAAGUCAACAGACUUGCCCAAGGUCACAUGACAGGCAAAGGGCUGUGUUAAGGAUUUUUUAAGCUAGGUAUAAAACUCUCUGGGGCCAGCAAGAUGGCUCAGUAAAUUAAAGGGCUUGUGGCCAAGCCUGACAACCUAAGUUUCAGUGCCUGACUGAACCCACAUGGUAGAAGAAGCAGAAAGGGCCAACUUGUUCUGUGACCUCCACCUGCUGCUGUGUUUCUGCCCACUGAACAAAACAAAACAAAACCAAAAAACCUUUAAGGGCUGGAGAGAUGGCUCAGCCAAUGGCUGCUCUUCCAGAGGACUUGGGUUCAAUUCCCGGAACCCGCCAGGCAGCGCACAACUGUCUGUAACUCCAGUUCCAGGGGAUUUGAUACCUUCACAUAGACAUAUAUGCAAGAAAAACUCCAAUGUACAUAAAAUACAAAUAAAUACAUCUUUAAAAAAACAAAACAAAACAACAAUAACACCAACAAGAAAAAAAAAAAACAA